rnacentral:rRNA from 1 species
GACAGCAAUAUGAAGGCCAGGCUGAAGACUUUGCCGGAUUAGCUGAGAGGUGGUGCAUGCCGUCGUCAGUUCGUACUGUGAAGCAUCCUGUUAAGUCAGGCAACGAGCGAGACCCACGCCCACAGUUGCCAGCGUACUCUCUGGAGUGACGGGUACACUGUGGGACCGCCGCUGCUAAAGCGGAGGAAGGAAUGGGCAACGGUAGGUCAGUAUGCCCCGAAUAUCCCGGGCUACACGCGAGCUACAAUGGUUGGUACAAUGGGUAUCUACCCCGAAAGGGGACGGGAAUCUCCUAAAACCAAUCUUAGUUCGGAUUGAGGGCUGCAACUCGCCCUCAUGAAGCUGGAAUCCGUAGUAAUCGCGUUUCAACAGAACGCGGUGAAUACGUCCCUGCUCCUU